AAGCUGUGGAACCGUUAGCGGUAACUUGGCAGCAUGCAUUGGCUACUUAACCCAAAAUGGGCCCCUUCCCAGAGGGUGCUGCACCGGCGUUACUAAUCUAAACAACAUGGCCCGUACAACCCCGGACCGUCAGCAAGCUUGCCGUUGUCUUGUAGGAGCCGCUAACUCCUUCCCUACUCUCAACGCUGCCCGAGCUGCUGGACUUCCUAAGGCAUGUGGAGUCAAUAUUCCUUACAAAAUCAGCAAAAGCACCAACUGCAACAGGUAUGUCGUAAUCUCUCUCUGAUAUAUAUGAAAAUUAAAGGUUAUUUUAGAACAAGAAGUAUAUAACAAACAUUAUUAUGAUGAUUUACAUUUUAAGAUUAUUUUAUUGUUAAAUAAAAAGUAUAAGUUUUUUAAUAACUGUUUACUUCCCGGUUUAACCAUGUUCUAAUGGAAGUUUUGAGUUUUAUACCGAUGAAUAUAAAUUAAAAGUUUCUUUUGUUUGAAUGCAUAUUAUAGUACAAUAUAACAAUGUAAUGUUUAUUUGUAUGUGGUUGCAGCGUUAGAUGAGCGGCGGUCGGAUGAAGAAACUCAAGCGGACGUACGAAUCUAAUAUAAUGUAUGAGAGAGUACUAAAUAAGAUGUUGUUUUUCUAGUGUUUUAAAAUUUCAUGUUUCUCUUCUGUUGUGUCGUUCCUUUACUUUGGUUGUAUGUACUAUGUUCGUAAUCAACGUCCGCUAUAUGAAGUUCAUAUCCAAGGUUUACGUUAUUCUAUAUUCUUAAUUACUAAAACAAAGUUUAGUUAGUUUCACUGAUAUGAAAAAUUAAUAAUUAAACAUUAAAGAAAUAAAAUAAUCACUAAUAUGCAAUGCAGUUGAGAAGGAACGGAACAUUUUAAUUUAAAGAAAAUGAAGUAACGGGACAUUCUUAAAGUAUCCUGUUUAUACUUGAGAAUUAAUAUAGUUGAGAGAGAAUGAUGGACUGCUUUAAGGAACCAUGGCAUCCCCUGAAUUUAGGGCCCUACUUUUUUUUGUCGUCAAGUAGGGUUGUAUUAAAUAUGUGGUGUCUUUUUAAAAAAAAGAAUUGAGCUAGAUUUUAGACUCAUGACAUAAGAUGGCGAUUUGGAUUUUGGACAACCAAAUAGAAUGCACACUUAGAAUAAGAUUUCUAUUGAAUUUUUUUGUCAUCUUUUCAUCCUUGAUCGCUAAUUUUUUUUCAAAUAUACCGUCUUUUGAAAUGUUUCUAGAGAAAGAGAAAAUGUCAAAAUUCUACCAAAAGUCUAGACACGCAUCUGAUUGCCUUCUUAGUGUUAACGGCUAAUUACAGUUUUUUUUUUCUGGUAAUGGUACUUAAAUAAGGAUAAAGGGAAUUUCAAUAUUUCAAGGACUCUCAAUUUUACAACAGAAAAUAGCAAACUUUGACAAAAACGAGAUAGAUUAGCAAAAUACUAUGUGUUUAGCAUAUUUUGCAAAAUAUUUCUUUGAUCCACCACAAAAAGGUCUUACAAGGUUAAUUAACAUCUACAGUUUGCAAAGAAGGUUAGACCUAUUUUUCGACAAUGAAUAGAGGUUGAAACUCUUAUGUGUGUUUUCUUGUUAUAUUAAGAGUACAUAAGUUUUUUUUUUGUUGGUCAAAAUGUUAAAAGAGUACAUCUGUGUUCUCAAGUGCAAUUCUAUAGUCUUAUAGGAGUGAAACAAAAACGAGAUAGAUAAGCAAAAUAUGUGUUUCGCAUAGUUUGCAAAAUAUGUGUUUCGCAUAGUUUGCAAAAUAUUUCUUUGAUCCACCACGAAAAGGAGGCGAAAAUAAGUGUAUUCGUAGAGGGUUAAUUUACCCUACAGAGUUAUAUAAAUUAGUUUAAUUUUUAUUAAAUACUUAAACUUGACUCCAUCAAAACAUAAAUAUGACCUCUAUCAAAUUUAAGUUCAAACGAAGUCCGACAAUAUCGUGAAAGUUCUUCAAUUUUCAACCAAUUUAUCAUGAUCCCAGCAUGUAAUUUGUAUGGCUCCGCAGAAAAUACAAUUGUUGGAAUUGGAACUGAGAGUUUACUAUACUUUUUUAUAUUAUUUUGUUUUCGUGUUGGGCCGAUCAUCUCAUUAACAAGCUUUCACGUGAGUAUUUUGCUGAAUCCGCCAAUCAUUAUAUUUUAAAUCUGCUCAAUCUUAUUAGCGGAUGAUUAGUUUGGCACGAGCUAUCGAUCUCAUAUGAUUCUUGAACACAUAAUGCUACAAUAUAUAAAAUAUAUACUAUUUAAUUAUUUUAUACAAAUAACUAUUUUUAUCCGAUAUAGUUUAAAAAGUCACAGAAAAGGAGUACAUGUACGUUGAUAAAAGGGAAAAAAUGUAUUUUUGGUUUCACUUUUCAGAAAAUAAAAUUAAAUAAAAUGUCAAUCAAAGCAGAUGAGAGGUAAAUAGGUGCUCUACAUUAAAUGUAACCAACGGCCAACUAACUAAUCCUUUCUUCUAAUCGCAUUCACAUUCUCAAAACAUAAACUUUCAUUCUCUAUAUAAACACUGACUCCCUCAACUCUCUUCACCACCCAAAUAUCUUACUUGUUUACAUCUUCUUUUGCAAACCAACAGAAACACUAAUAGAAAAAUGGCCGGUGUAAUGAAGUUGGUAUGCUUGGUCUUGGCCUGCAUGAUUGUGGCAGGUCCGAUCACAGCGAACGCAGCUCUGACCUGUGGCACCGUUAACAGCAACGUGGCACCGUGCAUUGGCUACAUAACCCAAGGUGGACCCCUUCCCGGAGCGUGCUGCACCGGUGUUAGUAAACUUAACAGCAUGGCCCGUACAACCCCGGACCGUCAGCAAGCUUGUCGUUGCCUUAAAACUGCUGCUAGCGCCUUAGGCCCUAGUCUCAACGCUGGCCGUGCAGCUGGAAUUCCCAAGGCAUGUGGAGUCAGUGUUCCUUUCCCAAUCAGCACCAACACCAACUGCAACAGGUACGUAUAUUAAUUUGAUGAACCUCUCACACUCGCUCUUGAACUCUUAUAUUAACGGUUUUAUGUUUUAAUAAUUUUUUAAUGUUAAGAAAAUAUUCCCGGUCUAACAAUGUUAUAAAGGAAAUUUUGAGUUCUUAAAUGAUUCAACAAGUGUACGUAAAAAGGUUUUUUUAGUAGAAAUUUGAGGUUCUCUUAUACUAUAUUAACGAUGUUAUGUUUGAUUGGGCGUGGUUGCAGCGUGAAAUGAGCGACAGUGUGAUGAAGCUUCAGGGGACGUUUCGAAUAUUAUAAUAUGGAUCAGAAUAUUAAAUAAGAUAUGUUCGAAUGCAUGUUUUAAAAAUGUUUUAUAAUUUCCUUCUUUUUUAUUUUAAUAUGGUGAUC
rnacentral:lncRNA from 1 species